rnacentral:rRNA from 1 species
GACGAACGCUGGCGGCGUGCUUAACACAUGCAAGUCGAACGAUGAAGCUGGAGCUUGCUCCGGUGGAUUAGUGGCGAACGGGUGAGUAACACGUGAGCAAUCUGCCCUUCACUCUGGGAUAACUGCGGGAAACUGUAGCUAAUACCGGAUACGAGGCUUGGAGGCAUCUCCAGGUCUGGAAAGAAUUUCGGUGAAGGAUGAGCUCGCGGCCUAUCAGCUUGUUGGUGAGGUAAUGGCUCACCAAGGCGACGACGGGUAGCCGGCCUGAGAGGGUGACCGGCCACACUGGGACUGAGACACGGCCCAGACUCCUACGGGAGGCAGCAGUGGGGAAUAUUGCACAAUGGGCGAAAGCCUGAUGCAGCAACGCCGCGUGAGGGAUGAAGGCCUUCGGGUUGUAAACCUCUUUUAGCAGGGAAGAAGCGAAAGUGACGGUACCUGCAGAAAAAGCACCGGCUAACUACGUGCCAGCCGCCGCGGUAA